UACGUAGGGGGCUAGCGUUGUCCGGAUUUAUUGGGCGUAAAGAGCGUGUAGGCGGCCAGGUAGGUCUGCUGUGAAAACUCGAGGCUCAACCUCGAGACGUCGGCGGAAACCAUCUGGCUAGAGUCCGGAAGAGGAGAGUGGAAUUCCUGGUGUAGCGGUGAAAUGCGUAGAUAUCAUAAGGAAGACCAGUGGCGAAGGCGGGUCUCUGGACAGUUACUGACGCUGAGGCGCGAAAGCGAGGGGAGCAAACGGG
rnacentral:rRNA from 1 species